GUUGCAAUUUACAAUCACAUAAAGGAAAUUUGGGAUACACCAAGAUUCUCACAGCACUGCAUUUUGGUGUCAAAUGCUAUGCUGGACAAUUCUACUAACAAACAAUUAUUUAUUCGUAGCACUACAUCAAGAGUCACGAUUCAUGCUGGGUCACCAUGCGAGCUUACAGCAACUACUUGAUGGACUGGCCUUCUUAUGCAAC